AACAUUACCUCAUAUUUUUAAUAGAGGCAGGCACCAUUUCAAAUUAACCCUUUUUGGUUAUGAAUUCUUGACAGAAAUAAGUAUUGAACAACAUCCACCGUAUAUCACAUUAGGGUGGAGAACACGAUGCCUUGCCCACUUAAAAAAUUCACCAAUGCAUUUUUGGGUAUGUUGGAGUUACACAACGAAAUGCAACUGAAAAGAAGUACUGGGCAGAGCCCAAGACGGCACAUCGAGCCAUGAACAAAUUGGUGUUCUCUCUUCUUUGCUGGUACGUAGCAUGAGCCAGGCUGCUGUGCUUGGAUGGAAGCAGCACUCAUCUCAUCUGUUACAUUGCACUAAAGGACAAGCAAAAAACCGAAGGAGAGGGAGGUUACUGGAAGUGUGGGACACAGGUAGUGAAUCAACAACCUUUCUCAAAGAGGAAAAAAGAAAACUAGCAUGUAUGGCUAGAAAGUGGCUAGAUGGUGUCACAGAACUCAAGAAUGAGAAAGGGCUUUUCCAGAAAGCAUUGAAAGAUCACAAGAGCAAAGUGUGCAGUCCAGAUGAACUUGGCAAGCACUCUCAUGAGGCUACAGAGACUGGAACAAGUGCAAAUAUUAAUGUAGUUCACAUGCCCUUAAAGGAUGUACAAUCAGAAGUUCAUCUACAGCUGAAAAUCAGCACUCAGACCUGAAGCAGUGAAGUCAACAUCUGCAACAAGCUCCCUAUAGGUUUCAAGUAGGACAAAAACGCACCUAAUUUGCCUAUGAUCUUCUUCAGACAUUUAAAGAGUUGUGAAAAGUGUGAAAACACACCAGAAAAUCAGAACCAAGAUCUCCGUACACCCUCCCAUUCUGAGGCUGGUGAGAGCAAACAAAUCUGAUGUGGGAUUUCCAUUGUUUCAGUUUGUGCCUGUUGCCUCCUCUCCUGCCAUCGUCACGACUGAGAAGAGUCUCCCUUUACCUUCUACACACCCUGCCACCUCUUAUCUACAAAAAAA
ensembl:lncRNA